rnacentral:rRNA from 1 species
AAAGGUGCCUUUAGCGGCGGUGAUCCACCUCUUCCCAUCCCGAACAGAGAAGUUAAGCCCGCCAGCCCCGAUGGUACUGCCGGAAGGCGGGAGAGCAGGACGGUGCCGGAU